rnacentral:rRNA from 1 species
GAUGAACGCUGGCGGCGUGCUUAACACAUGCAAGUCGAACGGAAAGGCUCCUGCUUGCAGGGGUACUCGAGUGGCGAACGGGUGAGUAACACGUGGGUGAUCUGCCCUGCACUUCGGGAUAAGCCUGGGAAACUGGGUCUAAUACCGGAUAGGACGAUGGUUUGGAUGCCAUUGUGGAAAGUUUUUUCGGUGUGGGAUGAGCUCGCGGCCUAUCAGCUUGUUGGUGGGGUAAUGGCCUACCAAGGCGUCGACGGGUAGCCGGCCUGAGAGGGUGUACGGCCACAUUGGGACUGAGAUACGGCCCAGACUCCUACGGGAGGCAGCAGUGGGGAAUAUUGCACAAUGGGCGCAAGCCUGAUGCAGCGACGCCGCGUGGGGGAUGACGGCCUUCGGGUUGUAAACUCCUUUCGCUAGGGACGAAGCGCAAGUGACGGUACCUGGUGAAGAAGCACCGGCUAACUACGUG